AUACGUAGGGGGCGAGCGUUGUCCGGAAUGAUUGGGCGUAAAGGGCGCGUAGGCGGCCCGGUAAGUCUGGAGUGAAAGUCCUGUUUUUAAGAUGGGAAUUGCUUUGGAUACUGUCGGGCUUGAGUGCAGGAGAGGUAAGUGGAAUUCCCAGUGUAGCGGUGAAAUGCGUAGAGAUUGGGAGGAACACCAGUGGCGAAGGCGACUUACUGGACUGUAGCUGACGCUGAGGCGCGAAAGUGUGGGGAGCAAACAGGAUUAGAUACCCUGGUAGUCCACACUGUAAACGAUGAAUGCUAGGUGUAGGGGGUAUCGACCCCUUCUGUGCCGCAGUCAACACAAUAAGCAUUCCGCCUGGGGAGUACGGCCGCAAGGUUGAAACUCAAAUGAAUUGACGGGG
rnacentral:rRNA from 1 species